UACGAAGGUCCCAAGCGUUAUCCGGAUUUAUUGGGUUUAAAGGGUGCGUAGGCGGUCUAUUAAGUCAGUGGUGAGAGCCCCAAGCUCAACUUGGGAACUGCCAUUGAUACUGAUGGACUUGAGUACAUUUGAGGUGGGCGGAAUGUGUCAUGUAGCGGUGAAAUGCUUAGAUAUGACACAGAACACCGAUUGCGAAGGCAGCUCACUAAACUGUAACUGACGCUGAGGCACGAAAGCGUGGGGAGCAAACAGG
rnacentral:rRNA from 1 species